AUUUUCUCUCUUUACGUAUUUGGCUCUUAAAUAAUGGUUAGGCGUAGCAGGGAAAUUUAUGUUCUCUUAAGAGUUCACUUACAUUUGUGAAAUGGUAUUUUGACCGCUUUAUAAAGACCCACAAGUUGGCAUGUGUAAUUUCUUAAUUAUUAAACAAUGAAGUGACCUGCAACUGCACUCAACAUAAAAUUAACCAUUAAGUGAAAAAAAUCUACCUAUUUUUGACUUCAAGACAAGCUUGCCUUAAAUUUGAGGCUUUUAUGUCAAGAUGAAAUUUCCAUACAUAUGACCCACCGUCAAAUGCAGACAUCUCGAGAACACUUGUGUGGAUGAAACUCACAUCAAAAUUCAGAAGCCAAUACAAAAUUACUCAGUAUUCUGUAUUAGGAAAGGAUAUUACAUCUUAAACGCCAAGGUGUUUGCAAUUAUAGCAUGGAGAUAGUCGCCAUUGUUUCCACCCAUCCUCGGUCCUGCCAUGACUCUUUCAUCUGAAAUCACUCCAGUGCAAGAUAAGUUUUGUCUAAGAUCUUAAACGGAAAUCUUGUUCUAGCUGACUCUGGUACGCUGCAGAGAGCUUCGUAUUGACUCCAUAUAGGAACUCACAGAAUUGGAUGCAUCAGCAUCAAUUUAACUUAAAGAAUUUUAUCGAGCGCACUAUUAAUGUCCUUUAAAGUCGUUUUCGUUGCCAAGAAGAUUGAAUUAUGAGCCCAUGUUUUGUUGCCACAUUGUUAAUGUCUGCUGUGCACUGCAAAACAUUUGUAAAAAGCGAAAUUGGCAAGUCGAGGCACUCACUUAGACUACAUUGAAGAGGCCGCAGUUGAAUCAGAAAUGGAAGAAAACAUUAGUGGACCAUUCUGCUCCUCUUAUAUAAUAAAUAAAUCGAUCAUAAUUCUAAAUAUUUUUCCAAUUUGCUGAACACUUGUGCACAUUUUUCUAUAAAGACCUGUUUUAAUUCAGUGUCUUGCUAUUUUUGUUCAGUGUGUUCCUUUUGCAAAGUGUCCGAUUUCAUGCUCGGUCAUUGUUGUCAGCUUGGACAGCAUGUCCAACUGAGCUGACACAGUCAGUUAAGGUCAGCGCAACUGGAGUUAAGCGGCGGUGCUUCGACAUUGUCUCCUCGCCGGUAUCCACAUGUGGAUGUUCUUGACCAUCACCGGCAUUUACGACUGUUAAGGUGAAACAAAUUAUUUUAUUCUCUUUUAAACAUUUAGGUUUAAAUAAUUGCUUCAAUAAACAUGGAACGACAGCAUAAGCUAUCAUGUCUUU